CCUUUCGGGGAAAAAGGCGUGUGUCUAUGUAUGUAUGACAUACAUAAACACAUGUCUUUUUCCCCGAAGAG
rnacentral:pre_miRNA from 1 species